CAGGAAAUAAUUUAAAAAAAAUAUUAAUUUUGGAGAUUAAAAUUGGGGUAUACCUUUUCUGA
rnacentral:tRNA from 1 species